AAAAGGGCCCUUUCUCUCUUCUUCCUCUUCUUCGCCCCUCUUCUUCUUCGUUCUCUUGAGCUCACAAAGCAUUCCCGUAACCUAGUAGGGGGAUUUGGAACCCUAAUCCGAGCCCCUGUCGACGCGGAUCUCGUUCGCGGGGCUCGGUUUCGAGGGAUUCGAUCGGAGAUCGCUCUUCUUCUUCGUUGGGUUGGGUGGGGAAUCUCCUCGGAUCGGAGUGGUGGGGAUGGAGCAAGGGAUUCAACCCGCGGCGUCGUCCUCGGCGGCGGCGCCGCCGCAGCAGGGGGAUUUGCCGGCGAAGAAGCUCGUGCGGCAGCUGGAUUUCACCUCCACGGCGUACCCCGGGAACCCCGCGGUGGCCGCCGCGGCCGCCGCCGUGUCGAGGGCUCUCGACCAGCGCCCGCUGCCGCAGCAGAUACUCCCCNGCGGCAGCUGGAUUUCACCUCCACGGCGUACCCCGGGAACCCCGCGGUGGCCGCCGCGGCCGCCGCCGUGUCGAGGGCUCUCGACCAGCGCCCGC
rnacentral:lncRNA from 1 species